GUUUAUGGCCAUACCAGCCUGAACAUGCCCAAUCUUACCUGAUCUCAGAAGCUAAGCAGGGUAAGGCGUGGUAGGCUUUAAAAA
rnacentral:rRNA from 1 species